rnacentral:rRNA from 1 species
UACAUUAGAUACCCCCGUAGUCCAGGGUGUAAACGCUGCGGGCUUGGUGUUGGGGGUCCUUUGAGGGCGCCCAGUGCCGGAGAGAAGUUGUUAAGCCUGCUGCUUGGGAGUACGUCCGCAAGGAUGAAACUUAAAGGAAUUGGCGGGGAGCACCACAAGAGGUGGAGGCUGCGGUUCAAUUGGACUCAACGCCGGAAAACUCAUCGGGAGCGACAGCAGUAUGAUUGCCAGGUUGAUGACCUUGCUUGACAAGCUG